UACGUGGGGCCCGAGCGUUAUCCGGAUUUACUGGGCGUAAAGCGUGCGUAGGUGUUUUGGUAAGUCUUCGGUGAAAGCCCCCGGCUCAACCGGGGAACCGUCGGAGAAACUACCAGAAUUGAGUGUGACAGAGGCAAAUGGAAUUGGCGGUGUAGCGGUAAAAUGCGUAGAUAUCGCCAAGAACACCAGUGGCGAAGGCGAUUUGCUGGGUCACUACUGACACUGAGGUACGAAAGCGUGGGGAGCGAACGGG
rnacentral:misc_RNA from 1 species